AUAGCGUAUAUUAAAGUUGUUGCAGUUAAAAAGCUCGUAGUUGGAUUUCAAGGGCCGCAACGUGCACAACACGUCUGCACCCUACCAGUCUUUGACUGUUACUGUGAGAAAAUUAGAGUGUUUCAAGCAGGCUGUUGCAGGAAUACAUUAGCAUGGAAUAACGAAUGUGUCUAGAAUCUUGGUUAAUUCUAGAUUACGAUUAAUAGGGACAGUUGGGGGCAUUAGUAUUUAAUUGUCAGAGGUGAAAUUCUUGGAUUUGUUAAAGACUAACGUAUG
rnacentral:rRNA from 1 species